rnacentral:rRNA from 1 species
AGUGAACGCUGGCGGUAGGCCUAACACAUGCAAGUCGAACGGCAGCACAGUAAGAGCUUGCUCUUACGGGUGGCGAGUGGCGGACGGGUGAGGAAUACAUCGGAAUCUACUUUUUCGUGGGGGAUAACGUAGGGAAACUUACGCUAAUACCGCAUACGACCUACGGGUGAAAGCAGGGGAUCUUCGGACCUUGCGCGAUUGAAUGAGCCGAUGUCGGAUUAGCUAGUUGGCGGGGUAAAGGCCCACCAAGGCGGCGAUCCGUAGCUGGUCUGAGAGGAUGAUAAGCCACACUGGAACUGAGACACGGUCCAGGCUCCUACGGGAGGCAGCAGUGGGGAAUAUUUGACAAUGGGGGGAAGCCUGAUCCAACCAUAGCGCGUGGGUUGAGGAAGCCUUCGGGUUGUAAAGCCCUUUUUUUGGGAAAGAAAAGCAGCAGGUUAAUACCCCGCUGUUCUGACGGUACCCAAAGAAUAAGCACCGGCUAACUUCGUG